rnacentral:misc_RNA from 1 species
GAUGAAGAACGUAGCGAAAUGCGAUACGUAAUGUGAAUUGCAGAAUUCAGUGAAUCAUCGAAUCUUUGAACGCACAUUGCGCCCGCUGGUAUUCCGGCGGGCAUGCCUGUUCGAGCGUCAUUUCAACCCUCAAGCCCCCCGGGUUUGGUGUUGGGGAUCGGCUCUGCCUCACGGCGGUGCCGCCCCCGAAAUACAUUGGCGGUCUCGCUGCAGCCUCCAUUGCGUAGUAGCUAACACCUCGCAACUGGAACGCGGCGCGGCCAUGCCGUAAAACCCCAACUUCUGAAUGUUGACCUCGGAUCAGGUAGGAAUACCCGCUGAACUUAAGCAUAUCAAUAAGCGGAGGA